UCAGCCCAUCAAAGGAUCCUUGUUCUUCUCCAUAAAUUUGUUGAAUCACAAAUUUGAUUUCCUCAUUCUUUGAGGUUUUCUCAAACUCAUCAUUUGGCAUCCCAACCUCUACACCCUCAUUGAAGCCAAGAACCAAGUUGUCCAUCAUUUCAGUAGAACCUUUCUCCUCUACAUGCACACCAUCAAAAUCUUGGGCAAGGU
rnacentral:misc_RNA from 1 species